AAUGAACGCUGGCGGCAUGCCUAACACAUGCAAGUCGAACGAGACCUUCGAAUCUACUUGCUCACGGGUGCGUAACGCGUGGGAAGGUGCCCGUAGGUACGGGAGUACUCCCCGACAGGGGGGCUAACACCGGGUAAUUUCUGCGGAUAACAGAUUCAUCGCGUGUGGAGGGGCCGGCGUUGGUUUAGCUAGUCGGUAGGGUAAAAGCCUACCAAGGCGACGAUCCAUAGCUGGUCUGAGAGGAUGAUCGGCCACACUGGGACUGAGACACGGCCCAGACUCCUACGGGAGGCAGCAGUGGGGAAUAUUGGACAAUGGGCGAAAGCCUGAUCCAGCAAUGCCGGGGGAGUGAUGAAGUCCUGAGGGUUGAAAAGCUCUUUGACCCGGGAUGAUAAUGACGGUACCGGGAGAAUAAGCUCCGGCUAACUCCGUG
rnacentral:rRNA from 1 species